rnacentral:rRNA from 1 species
UACGUAGGGCGCGAGCGUUGUCCGGAAUUAUUGGGCGUAAAGAGCUCGUAGGUGGCUUGUUGCGUCUGCCGUGAAAGCCCGUGGCUUAACUACGGGUCUGCGGUGGAUACGGGCAGGCUAGAGGCUGGUAGGGGCAAGCGGAAUUCCUGGUGUAGCGGUGAAAUGCGCGGAUAUCAGGAAGAACACCCGUGGCGAAGGCGGCUCUCUGGUACGUGACUGACGCUGAGACGCGAAAGCGUGGGGAGCGAACAGG